rnacentral:rRNA from 1 species
UGACCUCGAAUCAGGUAGGGAUACCCGCUGAACUUAAGCAUAUCAAUAAGCGGAGGAAAAGAAACCAACAGGGAUUGCCUUAGUAACUGCGAGUGAAGCGGCAAGAGCUCAAAUUUGAAAUCUGGCGUCUUUGGCGUCCGAGUUGUAAUUUGGAGAGGCAUCUUCGGGGGCGGCGCCGGCCUAAGUUCCUUGGAACAGGACGUCAUAGAGGGUGAGAAUCCCGUUCUCGGCUGGCUGUCCGUCCUCAUGUGAAGUGUCUUCGACGAGUCGAGUUGUUUGGGAAUGCAGCUCAAAAUGGGUGGUAAACUCCAUCUAAAGCUAAAUACUGGCGAGAGACCGAUAGCGCACAAGUAGAGUGAUCGAAAGAUGAAAAGCACUUUGAAAAGAGAGUCAAAAAGUACGUGAAAUUGUUGAAAGGGAAGCGCUUGAGACCAGACUCGGCGUGAGGUAUUCAUCGUCCCUUCUGGGGCGUGCACUUGCCUCUCGUCGGGCCAGCAUCGGUUGCGGCGGCGGGAUAAAGACCUGGGGAACGUGGCUGCUCUCGGGCAGUGUUAUAGCCCCGGGUGUCAUGCCGCCUGCUGCGACCGAGGACC